GCAAGUCGAGCGGACAGAAGGGAGCUUGCUCCCGGAUGUUAGCGGCGGACGGGUGAGUAACACGUGGGUAACCUGCCUGUAAGACUGGGAUAACUCCGGGAAACCGGAGCUAAUACCGGAUAGUUCCUUGAACCGCAUGGUUCAAGGAUGAAAGACGGUUUCUGGCUGUCACUUACAGAUGGACCCGCGGCGCAUUAGCUAGUUGGUGAGGUAACGGCUCACCAAGGCGACGAUGCGUAGCCGACCUGAGAGGGUGAUCGGCCACACUGGGACUGAGACACGGCCCAGACUCCUACGGGAGGCAGCAGUAGGGAAUCUUCCGCAAUGGACGAAAGUCUGACGGAGCAACGCCGCGUGAGUGAUGAAGGUUUUCGGAUCGUAAAGCUCUGUUGUUAGGGAAGAACAAGUGCAAGAGUAACUGCUUGCACCUUGACGGUACCUAACCAGAAAGCCACGGCUAACUACGUGCCAGCAGCCGCGGUAAUACGUAGGUGGCAAGCGUUGUCCGGAAUUAUUGGGCGUAAAGGGCUCGCAGGCGGUUUCUUAAGUCUGAUGUGAAAGCCCCCGGCUCAACCGGGGAGGGUCAUUGGAAACUGGGAAACUUGAGUGCAGAAGAGGAGAGUGGAAUUCCACGUGUAGCGGUGAAAUGCGUAGAGAUGUGGAGGAACACCAGUGGCGAAGGCGACUCUCUGGUCUGUAACUGACGCUGAGGAGCGAAAGCGUGGGGAGCGAACAGGAUUAGAUACCCUGGUAGUCCACGCCGUAACGAUGAGUGCUAAGUGUUAGGGGGUUUCCGCCCCUUAGUGCUGCAGCUAACGCAUUAAGCACUCCGCCUGGGGGAGUACGGUCGCAAGACUGAAACUCAAAGGAAUUUGACGGGGGGCCCGCACAAGCGGGUGGAGCAUGUGGUUUAAUU
rnacentral:rRNA from 1 species